AUGUCCGAGCCGUCGCUCGGGCCCGGCCGCCGGGCGCUCCCCAGGCGCUCGGCUCCUCCCGUGUCCCGGGGUUACCCAUCAGCCGGGGCUGAGACUGCGGGGUCGCUGCGGGGCUCACUCCAGAAGCCUCGAGCCUGAGCAAACUCUGCCCAAGAGGGCGGCGCUGUCUCCACACACACGCCUGCCUUUCAAAGGACGAGCGGCCGCCGGCUCCGUUGGGAACCGCGGUCGGUCCCCGGGAACCUCCGACAUUGUGACCGUGACGAGAAAUGCGGCCUUUGGCGUCAGCCGCUGCCCCGCGGGGCUCUGCGCAGGACUGCCUCACCGCUGGCACCGAGACCCGAGGCGGAAGAGACUCUCUGACACUGCAGUUGGGGCCGGGCAGCUGCAUUCCUUUACUCCAGAGCUGGGGCCGUGGGGGAUCACAGAGCGGGAGCGGCUGGAAGGGACCUUGGCAGAGCUCCAAGGAAGGAGACUCCACAGCCCGCCUGGGCAGCCUGUGCCAGUGCUCCCUCACCUGAACAGUGAAGAAGCUUUUCCUCCUAUUUCUCUGGAACCUCUUCUGUUCCAGCUUGUACCCCUUGCCCCUUGUCCUGUCGCUGGACAUCACUGACAACAGCCUGUGUGAGGCAGCGCAGUCACAGUGUGGGAACAGCCACAGAAACACAGACCAAACGUGAAGAGUCAGUGCAGUGCACAGGCAGAGGCACAGGCAGGAUUUGGGGUCCAUUCCAGAGGGUCACAGACCCUGCUGUGCAUGUCUGUUAUCAGGGAUUUGCACCUGCAUCAUUGACCCUGUGCUUCAAACUCUCCCACAGCAGGGCAGGAAUCUCCAGCACGAUGAUGGGAUGCCUAUCAGAGGCCUGUGUUACCUAAACACAGAUGUUCUACUGGUCAAGCACAUAAGGAUAAGCAGCGAUAAGUGACCGAUGUGCUUCUCUACACCCCAACUGCAAGUCACUGAGAGGGUUUAUAAGGCUCCUGGACAAUCUCCCCUUAUUAUCUCACACUUUUUCCCCUUAUUGGAUAGUUUUGGUAUGAGAACCCUGGAAAACUUGCAUACAAAGUUACAAGAAGACAAGCAACCUUGGAUGUCACAAUAUGAUUUACAGGACAACUCUACAGAAAAGAGGAGUUUCACAAUAAGUAGAAAGCUGUUGAUGGCACACCAGGGCUUUGGCCACUUCUGCCUGCUGUUCCCACAGCAACAAGGCUGGCUCUGCAACAUUCACCCACUCCCCAGCAGUGGGCUGGGGGUGAGCAAGAUCUUCGCUGGGGACACAGCCUGGACAGCUGACCCCAACUGACUCCCACCAAAGGACUAUCCCGUACCAUAUGAUGUCUGCUCAGCAACAAAAGGCAAGGGAAGAUGAGCUUCACAAUAUCUUUGACACUUCUAAUUGAUUUGUCAGCCUGGGGAAGUGGAAAAGUACAUGAGAUAAGCCAUGAACAAAAUUCCUACACAAGAUCAAUCCCACACAGGGAUAUGACGCAAAACAGUACCAAAGGAAGGCUUUCCUGCUGCCGUUCUAACCCAUUGAGAAGCUGCAGUUGCUCAUCAGAAAACCUAUCCUCAGGGAAUCGAGUCCAAGAAGAAGAGCAGGAAAGUCUGAUGCUGGGUUUUGAAGACGACGCGCUGGGCUGUUCCCUGCGCUCACCAUCAGCCAGGGAACGGCGCGACUGAAAUGCCACAGGGUUUGCAGCUCCAAACACGCUUUCAAGGACAAACACAAAGAUUCCAAAGGACAAGGUUUCUCUGGUUUAGGAUUUUAUUAUACAUUCUAUGGAAUAU